AAAAUAAUCCUACCCUUUGUGAAUUUUGUUUGUUUGAAUAAUUUUUUUUUUUAAAAAAUUAUUGGAGUCUUUCCCUUUAGAGUCUGCUUUUGAGUUUGUAAAAGAAUUCGAAAACAUCUAAAGGGGAUGGUCAAUAAUUUUUUUUGAAAAAAGACAUUUUUUAAAAUUAAACUUUUUGUAUUCAUUUGUCUAAAAAUUAUUUUUAUAAUAUAAAAACAACUUUUGACAAUGGAUCUCUUGGUUCUCGCAACGAUGAAGAACGCAGCAAAAUGCGAUAAGUAGUGUGAAUUGCAGAAUACGUGAAUCAUCGAAUCUUUGAACGCAUAUUGCACUUUUUUAGUUUACUAAAAAAGUAUGUCUGUUUGAGUAUCAGUAAAAUAUUCUCAUAAAAAUCAUUGUGUAUUUUUAUGGUUAUGAGUGUUUUACAACGAUACAAGUUGUUUCACUUUAAAUUUUUUUUUAAUAUUGAAAUUUUUCUAAUUUUAAUAAUUAAAAUUGGAUAAAAUUUUCCCGUCAAAAGGAAUAACCUAAACAAUUUUAAAUGAUUAAUUUUAGCAAAAUUUUCGAUAAAAAGGAAAAUUUUUAUUAAAAUAACUUGAUCUCAAAUCAGAUAAGAGUACCCGCUGAACUUAAGCAUAUCAAUAAGCGGAGGAAAAGAAACUAACAAGGAUUCCCUUAGUAACGGCGAGUGAAGCGGGAAGAGCUCAAAUUUGAAAUCUUCAAGGUUUUACCUUGACGAAUUGUAGUUUAAAGAAGUGUUUUCUGCUGGAGUUUUGGUAAAAGUUCUUUGGAAUAGGACAUCAUAGAGGGUGAGAAUCCCGUAUUUGACCAUUAUUUUCAGCUUUGUGAUACACUUUCAAAGAGUCGGAUUGUUUGGGAAUGCAGUCCAAAAUGGGUGGUAAAUUUCAUCUAAAGCUAAAUAUUGGCGAGAGACCGAUAGCGAACAAGUACCGUGAGGGAAAGAUGAAAAGAACUUUGAAAAGAGAGUUAAACAGUACGUGAAAUUGUCAAAAGGGAAGCGUUUGACACCAGUGUUGUUUUCUCGAAAAUCAAUUAAAAAUGGCUCGAUUUUGUAUUGCUGAGACCUUAAAAGCUCACUGUACAUUUUUCGUGUCUUUUUUAAUGCACUUUUCGUUUAACAAGUCAACAUCAGUUUCUUUUGUUGUAAAAGGGUCAUUGGAAGGUGGCUUUCUUUUCGGAGAAAGUGUUUAUAGCCUUUGGCCUCUGCAAUCGGAGAGACUGAGGUCUGCAGCGUAGACUCUUCGGGGUUAGAUACAUUUGUGCUAAGUUAUAGCUUUUUAUAGACAACUUGUUGACUAUAAUUAGUCUUGUAGCUUACUCGCUUAUGCUAUUUUACCUACGCUUAGGAUG
rnacentral:misc_RNA from 1 species